AAGGAUUCUAAAUGCAGCAAUGGUGCUGUAUUAUCUCUUUUGACUUUAUUUUCUAAGGAUUCUAAAUGCAGCAAUGGUGCUGUAUUAUCUCUUUUGACUUUAUUUUCUAAGGAUUCUAAAUGCAGUAAUGGUGCUUUAUUAUCUCUUUUGACUUUAUUUUGUAAGGAUUCUAAAUGCUGCAAUGGUGCUGUAUUAUCUCUUUUGACUUUAUUUUGUAAGGAUUCUAAAUGCUGCAAUGGUGCUGUAUUAUCUCUUUUGACUUUAUUUUGUAUUAUCUUUUUUAACUUUAUUUUCUAAGGAUUCUAAAUGCUGCAAUGAUGCUGUAUUAUCUCUUUUGACUUUAUUUUGUAAGGAUUUUAAAUGCUGCAAUGAUGCUGUAUUAUCU
rnacentral:lncRNA from 1 species